GGCGUCGUUGCAAAGCCCUUUCUCCAGUUCCACUCUCCGAUCGAAAACUUGGCCAAAAAGACAGAAAAGGAUCAAAAAUAGUUUUGCCAGUCUCUGAAUAAUCACUCACUCAAUUUCUCUAUCGCUCGCAGCUUCAUACGCAAGCCAGUCUCUCAAAACGUCAGGUAAAGCAUUACCUCUGUCUCCAUAUCACUUGGUUUACUUUAAUUGAUGAAAUUAUAUAUUCCACCAAACUCUUAAUAAUUCUCCCCUUUUUCCUGUAAUCUCAAAACGCAAUCUGAAUAUCAAUACUUUGAAUUCAGUAGUCCAUGCUUUUCUUUUUCUCUUUUUGAGUGUGAUGUUGUUUGCAUUUGGCUUGUAGGUUUUAUUGCGAGUAGAUCAUGUGGACUAACCCUAGAUUUCUUCUUAGUCAGUUCUAAAACCUUAAAAACGAUUUUCUUACGAAUCCUUAAGAGAGCAUUGCAUAGAUCAUUGGCGAUUGUUUAAUUUAUUUAGGAUUGUUCCGAAAAGACGGGAUUCUUCAUUUCCAAGCCAAACUACGUUGUUUGUUUGGAUCAAAUGAAUACCAUGAAAUUACAAUGCAAGUUGCAAAUAUUUCUGGGUCUGAUUGGAAAUGAUUCUGUUUUCCACGAAGAGUUUACUUUAUAAAGUUUAUAAAGCACGUAAUCAGCUAUCUGUAUUAUCUGAUUUUUCAUAUCCUGGAAUUUCUUCGAGCCACUGAAGAUUCUUCUUAUCUUAUGAUCAUGUGUUGAAACCGAUUUGGUACAUCUUUUUUAUUGUUUACCUGGACUAAUUCUCGGUUGCAGUCACAAAUGCUUUGCUCUGGUUAUAAGAAAACUCUCUUAAAGCUAAAGAAUCAUUCUCCUAUUUGUUUCGUUGACCUACCAUGAGAAAGUAGAAUCUGAUGGGAUGGUUCUAGUAAAUAUUCCUGAGUUUUGGGGAACUGAAUUUACAUGUAUUAAAUGUUGACGUGGUCAUGCAGCAUAUGCACUGAUAGUAACUGAUAUUGAGCCAUUUAAUGUAUUAAUCCUGGCCAACUAUACUCGAAGUGCACUGCACUGUGAAAUUGUUCAUCAACUAACUUUGUUUCCAAUUUAUAAAGUUUGUUUUAGGAUGAUUUUAACAGGUGGAAAAUAUUAUGGUACCUGCACAAAAUUGCGUCCAUAUUGCAUACCUAUUGUGCUUAUGGUAUUGCUGUGCUUUAAAGUGCUAAAGUUGGUUCAUUAAUACAAUCAUAUUAUCAGAAAUGUUUUCAUGGAUGAAAAUUCGUGUUUCUCAUGUGAUAAGCUAUGAAGUCCUUUUUUAAAAUUUAAAUUUUCAUAAUUGUUGCAAUAAUCUUAUUUAAAUUCUGCAAGUUGCUUUUGUGAUGAUAAAUAAUAGGGCAUAUUUGAUUACAUUGGUCUGGUACAUGCAGUGAACAUGUAUUCCACCAUUUGUUGGUAUGGCAUGAUUAUUUAUUAACAGCCUUGAGCAGUUAGUGGCACACUGAUUGCUUAGAUUUUCAUCCUGAAAGGAAAUAAGUAUGUCGUUUUUAUUCAGUCUUUACCCUGGUCCUAUUAUAUUUCUUUGAUCAUUUUGAAACAUGUCAUCUGUGUUUCUGUGCAAAUGCUAUUAUAUCUUCUCUAGCUGAUUUAACUUUUUGCUUUAUAUUUAGUGUGAUACAAAAUGUCUCGAAGAUAUGAUAGCCGCACAACAAUCUUCUCCCCCGAAGGUCGCCUAUACCAAGUAGAGUAUGCAAUGGAGGCCAUUGGAAAUGCAGGAACUGCAAUUGGGAUAUUGGCAAAAGAUGGAGUUGUCUUGGUUGGUGAAAAGAAGGUCACUUCUAAACUCCUGCAGACUUCAACAUCAACUGAGAAGAUGUACAAGAUAGAUGACCACGUAGCAUGUGCUGUGGCUGGCAUAAUGUCUGAUGCCAACAUCCUUAUCAACACUGCUAGAGUUCAAGCCCAACGCUAUACUUAUGCCUACCAGGAACCAAUGCCUGUUGAACAACUUGUGCAAUCUCUUUGUGAUACCAAGCAAGGUUACACACAGUUUGGUGGGCUCCGCCCUUUUGGUGUCUCGUUUCUCUUCGCAGGGUGGGACAAAAAUUUUGGUUUCCAGCUUUACAUGAGUGAUCCUAGUGGAAAUUAUGGUGGUUGGAAGGCUGGAGCCAUUGGGGCAAACAACCAGGCUGCACAGUCAAUGUUGAAGCAGGACUACAAGGAUGAAAUUACAAGAGAAGAAGCAGUUCAGCUGGCACUAAAGGUGCUCAGCAAGACAAUGGACAGUACAAGUCUCACUUCUGAUAAGCUUGAAUUGGCUGAGGUCUUCCUCCUGCCCUCUGGAGAAGUGAAGUACCAGGUUCGUUCACCAGACUCCCUCAGCAAGUUAUUGGUGAAGUUUGGAGUGACUCAAGCUCCUGCUGAGGCCUCUUAAGUUACUGCACUUUUAUUUCAGAUGUGAUUUCGGGAGCAGUUUGGGAUAUGUAUGGCAAAUUGUGUGAUGGAUGCAACUUUUUCCCAAAAUAUAUUCAUGCUUUGAUAGGACUAAAUUAAUAUUGAUGCCCAUGUGUUGGACCUGGUGUAUGAGGUUGAUGUCUUGAUGGCAUCUAACCUGAAGGCAUUUCUGUGGAGCAAAUGUUAUUUCAUAGCCAGGCGCUCUCUUCUAUGAGCUCAUCCUUCAGUUCACUAGCCUUAAAUUUCAUUCCCUUGAUAAUUGAGGAAUGCUUUUUCUAGUUUACUUUCAUUUCAGCUGCGUUGGUAAUUGCACUAAAAAUUCCUGUCAUUUGAGAUGUGUUGCAUGUGCAUUGAGUUUUACUUUUAUGCAUAGAUCACUAGUAUACUUAAAAAUGAAACACUUUAUCACUUUUGCUUAUGCCUUGGAACUUUUUCUACAUUUUGGUGUUAUACACAUGGAUGGCAACGGUACUGUGACAUUGAAGCAAGGAUAGUUUAACCUAUGGGUGCCCGUUGUUUUUAAUUUUAAGAAAUUAUUGCUAUUUUUUCUUACAAAUUUUGGGGGAAAAGUUUUGGUGAUUAUAAAAGGAUAAGAACUAUGAGUGGUUGCUAAGUUUUUACAAUGUAUUGUUAGUUUUCU
rnacentral:misc_RNA from 1 species